rnacentral:misc_RNA from 1 species
ACACCUCAACUCUUCAUGGUUUUCCAUGGAUGAGCUUGGAUUUUGGGGGUUUUGCUGGCCUAUGGUCGGCUCCUCUAAAAUGAAUCAGCUUGCCAGUGUUUGGUGGGCAUCACAGGUGUGAUAAGUAUCUACGCUUGUGGUUUUCCACCAGUUAACCUUCAGCAGUGGAGGUUCGCUGGAGCUCACAGAUGUCUCUCCUAAGCGAGGACAACCCUUUGAAU